UCAAAGUAGGCAAAUCCGCUUUGAUAAUGCUGGGAUGUGAUGGGGAGCGAAAUUUAGUAGCGAAGUAGCUGAUUUCACACUGUCAAGAAAAGUCUCUAGCGAGGUUAAAGGUACCCGUACCGCAAACAGACACAGGUGGGUGAGGAGAGUAUCCUAAGGCCAGCGAGAGAACUGUUGUUAAGGAACUCGGCAAAAUGACCCCGUAACUUAGGGAUAAGGGGUGCCA
rnacentral:rRNA from 1 species